GAAAGACCCCGUGAACCUUUACUACAGCUUGGCACUGAACAUUGAACCUACAUGUGUAGGAUAGGUGGGAGGCUUUGAAGCACAGUCGCUAGAUUGUGUGGAGCCGUCCUUGAAAUACCACCCUUGUAUGUUUGAUGUUCUAACAUUGUUCCCUUAUCGGGAAUGUGGACAGUGUCUGGUGGGUAGUUUGACUGGGGCGGGCGUCUCCCAAAG
rnacentral:rRNA from 1 species